rnacentral:rRNA from 1 species
UACGGGGGGGGCAAGCGUUGUUCGGAAUUACUGGGCGUAAAGGGCUCGUAGGUGGCCAACUAAGUCGGACGUGAAAUCCCUCAGCUUAACUGGGGAACUGCGUCCGAUACUGGAUGGCUUGAGUUUGGGAGAGGGAUGCGGAAUUCCAGGUGUAGCGGUGAAAUGCGUAGAUAUCUGGAGGAACACCGGUGGCGAAGGCGGCAUCCUGGACCAACACUGACACUGAGGAGCGAAAGCCAGGGAGCAAAGCGGG